rnacentral:tmRNA from 1 species
GGGGAUGUUCUGGCUUCGACGCUGGUUGUGAAACUCUUCGAUGCAUGUCGAGAGCGCAUUAUCUCUCGUAAAUCAAUUUUGCAUUUUAAUAGUCGCAAACGACGAAACCUACGCACUCGCAGCCUAAGGGCUGAGAAUCGCCGCUAUUGAAUGUCUGUGGUCGAUAGCCGCGAGCGCAUGCACACAGAACCGCACACUGGGAUGUCCCGUAUCAGUGUGUCAACUCUAGGGAAUCGCGGUAACACCCCUGUCUGUCGGGUCGGUUAUUGUUAAACUAAAUGACAAGUACUAAACAUGUAGACUCACGAGCGUAGUGCUGGCGGACGCGGGUUCAACUCCCGCCAUCUCCACCA